CACCAAAGCACUUAAACCGUUCACAAGAUACAGAUGCAAGACAAAACGCAACCCACACAACCUACGGCCGCUUUGCACUUCAACACCUGCUCCACUCUCGUUCUCAGUGGGACUCUGGAACUGCCAGUCUGCUGUGAACAAAGCUGCCUUCAUUCCAGCUUUAGCCACGCAGUCCACCCCUCAGCAUCCUGGCACUGACAGAGACAUGGAUACGUCCUGAGGAUACAGCAACACCUGCUGCUCUCUCUAACAACUUCUCCUUCUCCCACACCCCUCGACAUACUGGUAGGGGUGGGGGAACAGGUCAGCUGACAAGCUUUCUUGAGGAAUUGGAUGUCCUGCUGUCCUCCUUGCCAGAGGAUGGCAGGCCACUUGUGGUUCUUGGUGAUUUCAACAUACACCAGGACAAACCCCAGGCCAUUGAACUGAAUACUCUUCUGGCCUCAUUUGACUUGGAAAGACUACACACCACAGCAACUCACAGGUCGGGCAACCAGCUGGACCUCAUUUUUA